GGAAUGAAUUCAAUGAUAUUAACAAGAUUAUCAUCCGGCAGCCUAUCCGCACUGAGUACAAGAUUGCUUUUCCUUACUUGUACAACAAUCUUCCACACCAUGUCCACCUCACCUGGUACCAUACUCCCAAUGUUGUAUUCAUCAAAACUGAGGAUCCUGACUUGCCAGCUUUCUACUUUGACCCUUUGAUCAACCCAAUCUCCCAUAGGCACUCAGUCAAGGUGAGGAAGGGAAGGGAUGCUUUCCCUCAGCUCUUCUAGGAGAAAUGCGUGAGGUUGGCUGAUGUUACUAAACGCUCAGGUGGAGGGAGAUGUGUUUUCCGUCUUGCUAAGUGUUCCCCUUGAGCUAUAAGCGAAUAUGAGAAUUCAGCAUUUGCUUUAAAACAUGUCAUUGGUAUAAUCCUGUUUUCUGUGAUUAUCCUUUUGGACUUUACGGUUCUUUUCUUGGGUGCUCUAGAUAAUCUGUC
rnacentral:lncRNA from 1 species